UCCCUAAACCCUCCCUUCUCUUCUCCUUCGUCUCCGGCGGGAUUGGCCAUGGUAGCAGCGGCGGCAGCGAUGUUGUAACUGGUUCGCGGCAUGAGAUUGUCUCCUCUUUUUUCUCACCUUGUUAUUUCCUUUAGGGUGAGAAGAUGAAGGAUGGCGGCUACAGCUCCGUUCAUGGCAACCUUGAAAUCACGGUGACGAGCCGGCGCUGAGAACAGUUUAAAGGAUCGUGUCGUUCAAGGAGAUGAUUCUGAAGUCCCACGUUUGGAACCCGAUUCCUCUUCUAUUCAGAUUCUAUUUAUCCCUUAUUGUCUAUUGAUCUUGUUGUUGUUCUAUAUUGGUCUUUGACUCUGGUUGUAGAAUUUUGAUUGUGGAAAUUCUAUGUGAUAUCUGAGUUCUUUAUCUGAUUUCUAAGUGAUAUGUGUGGGUGUUUGAUGGAUGGGAAGAUGAAUGAAGGAGAUGGGAAAGACCUUUCAUGAAGCACUCACAUAAUAUUAACCAUCUCUAUGCUGUUGUUCACGUGUAAUAGUGUCUCUCUCCUUUUUGGUCAUUUUGUGCCUUCUUUUAUAUUUGUUCACGAGGAACCCUUUCUUUGCCCGUCAGUGUUUAUUACAUGAUUGAUU